rnacentral:rRNA from 1 species
GUGGGGAAUCUUCCGCAAUGGACGAAAGUCUGACGGGGCAACGCCGCGUGAGUGAAGAAGGUUUUCGGAUCGUAAAGCUCUUUCGUUAGGGACGAACGUGCUCUUUGUGAAUAAUGAGGAGUAAUGACGGUACCUAAAUAAGAAGCCACGGCUAACUACGUGCCAGCAGCCGCGGUAAUACGUAGGUGGCAAGCGCUGUCCGGAAUUAUUGGGCGUAAAGCGCGCGCAGGCGGGAUAUCAAGUCUGUCUUAAAAGUGCGAGGCUCAACCUCGUAAGGGGACAGAAACUGGUAUUCUUGAGUGUCGGAGAGGAAAGUGGAAUUCCAAGUGUAGCGGUGAAAUGCGUAGAGAUUUGGAAGAACACCAGUGGCGAAGGCGACUUUCUGGACGAUGUCUGACGCUGAGGCGCGAAAGCUAGGGGAGCGAACGGGAUUAGAAACCCCGGUAGUCC